UGCCAGCCGCCGCGGUAAUACGGAGGGUCCAAGCGUUAUCCGGAAUCAUUGGGUUUAAAGGGUUCGCAGGCGGCCUAUUAAGUCAGUGGUGAAAUCUCUCGGCUCAACCGAGAAACUGCCAUUGAUACUGAUAGGCUUGAAUAUAGUUGGAGUAGGCGGAAUGUGUAGUGUAGCGGUGAAAUGCUUAGAUAUUACACAGAACACCGAUAGCGAAGGCAGCUUACUAAACUAUUAUUGACGCUCAUGAACGAAAGCGUGGGGAGCGAACAGGAUUAGAUA
rnacentral:rRNA from 1 species